AUGAACCUCAUGAGAACACCAAGACGCACCACGACGCAAGCGGAAACAGACAUCAGGGAUAAUGCUGACAGAUUAACAAAAUCUAAAGGAGGAAGAAUGGAGAUCCAUUUUGAGGCAGGUUUAAAAAGGCCACGUGAUGCUACACAGUCAGCCAAGUUAGUAUCAGAGGCAGCCAUUGCCGUUAGGUGUCAUGCACGUAUCCUCCCAACAUGGAUCCAGUACAGGAAUGAGAAAGACAAUACCCAGUUUAACACCUUCCUUGACCAUUUAUCCGUAAGUAAUGUUAUUCAUCGCAAUUAG
rnacentral:rRNA from 1 species